UACAGAGGUCUCAAGCGUUGUUCGGAUUCAUUGGGCGUAAAGGGUGCGUAGGCGGGCGCGGUAAGUCGGAUGUGAAAUCUCGGAGCUUAACUCCGAAACUGCAUUCGAUACUGCCGUGCUUGAGGACUGGAGAGGAGACUGGAAUUUACGGUGUAGCGGUGAAAUGCGUAGAUAAUCGUAAGGAAGACCAGUGGCGAAGGCGGGUCUCUGGACAGUUCCUGACGCUGAGGCACGAAGGUCAGGG
rnacentral:rRNA from 1 species